rnacentral:tRNA from 1 species
GGGCCCUUAGCUUAGUUGGUAGAGCGCCACAUUUGCAAUGUGGAGGUCACCGGUUCGAACCCGGUAGGGUCCACCA